rnacentral:rRNA from 1 species
GAUGAACGCUGGCGGCGUGCCUAAUACAUGCAAGUCGAGCGAACAGACGAGGAGCUUGCUCCUCUGACGUUAGCGGCGGACGGGUGAGUAACACGUGGAUAACCUACCUAUAAGACUGGGAUAACUUCGGGAAACCGGAGCUAAUACCGGAUAAUAUAUUGAACCGCAUGGUUCAAUAGUGAAAGACGGUUUUGCUGUCACUUAUAGAUGGAUCCGCGCCGCAUUAGCUAGUUGGUAAGGUAACGGCUUACCAAGGCAACGAUGCGUAGCCGACCUGAGAGGGUGAUCGGCCACAAUGGAACUGAGACACGGUCCAGACUACUACGGGAGGCAGCAGUAGGGAAUCUUCCGAAAUGGGCGAAAGCCUGACGGAGCAACGCCGCGUGAGUGAUGAAGGUCUUCGGAUCGUAAAACUCUGUUAUUAGGGAAGAACAAAUGUGUAAGUAACUAUGCACGUCUUGACGGUACCUAAUCAGAAAGCCACGGCUAACUACGUG